GACAAAAAUCUCAUUUGAAUAUGGGAUAACAACACUUCUCCCAUCAUUCAUGAAGGCUGAGGAGACAGAGACUUGGGAGGAGGAAGAAAAAUAAUAUGGCGGAUACAAGGUUUAUGGAAGGGAGAAGAAGCCGAAAGGCUUGCAUCUGUAUUGGAAUCGUUGAUUGGACUGAGAUUACAUUGUUGACAUAUUUACAUAUCUAUCUGGAGUACAUUCAACUUUAAAGAUGAACUUUGGAUUUUUAGUUGCUAAAUGUUUUCCUAAAUACUAAUCCAUUUCUUAACUCCUGAAACCACACAAUCCUUAGUUUCAGCCUAACAAUAUAUGAUUUUACUCAUGGGUGUGGGGAGGUGUGCCUCUCUCUGUCCAGUGAGGUUAUUUCUGGACAAUAUUUCUGUCCAUUUAGGGGACCCCUUUUGGCUCAAGAGCACCCCAGUUGCAAGUUAUGUGUAGCCUCUUUAGAACCUCU